rnacentral:rRNA from 1 species
GACGAACGCUGGCGGCGUGCCUAAUACAUGCAAGUAGAACGCUGAAGGAGGAGCUUGCUUCUCUGGAUGAGUUGCGAACGGGUGAGUAACGCGUAGGUAACCUGCCUGGUAGCGGGGGAUAACUAUUGGAAACGAUAGCUAAUACCGCAUAAGAGUAGAUGUUGCAUGACAUUUGCUUAAAAGGUGCAAUUGCGUCACUACCAGAUGGACCUGCGUUGUAUUAGCUAGUUGGUGGGGUAACGGCUUACCAAGGCGACGAUACAUAGCCGACCUGAGAGGGUGAUCGGCCACACUGGGACUGAGACACGGCCCAGACUCCUACGGGAGGCAGCAGUAGGGAAUCUUCGGCAAUGGACGGAAGUCUGACCGAGCAACGCCGCGUGAGUGAAGAAGGUUUUCGGAUCGUAAAGCUCUGUUGUAAGAGAAGAACGAGUGUGAGAGUGGAAAGUUCACACUGUGACGGUAUCUUACCAGAAAGGGACGGCUAACUACGUG